rnacentral:piRNA from 1 species
UUGAUAGAAUCGAGAAUCAUAUAGGAGAC